UACGGAGUGUGCGAGCGUUGUCCGGAAUCACUGGGCGUAAAGUGCGCGUAGGUGGCGCGGGCAGUCAACGGUGAAAGUUCGGGGCUCAACCCUGAAUCGGCCGUCGAUACUCCCGGGCUUGAGCACUGUAGAGGCAGAUGGAAUUCCGGGUGUAGCGGUGGAAUGCGUAGAGAUCCGGAAGAACACCGGUGGCGAAGGCGGUCUGCUGGGCAGUAGCUGACACUGAGGCGCGACAGCGUGGGGAGCAAACAGG
rnacentral:rRNA from 1 species